rnacentral:tRNA from 1 species
UGAGUGGUAGUUCAGUUGGUUAGAAUACCGGCCUGUCACGCCGGGGGUCGCGGGUUCGAGUCCCGUCCACUCCG